AUUGAACGCUGGCGGCAUGCUUUACACAUGCAAGUCGAACGGUAACAGGCCUUCGGGUGCUGACGAGUGGCGGACGGGUGCGUAAUGCAUCGGAACGUGCCCCGUGCCGGGGGGUCUCGCAGCGAAAGCUGUGCUAAUACCGCAUGUGAUCUGAGGAUGAAAGCGGGGGACCACUCAGCAAUGUUUGGCCUCUCGCCUUUGGAGCAGCCGAUGUCGGAUUAGGUAGUUGGUGGGGUAAAGGCCUACCAAGCCGACGAUCUGUAGCUGGUCUGAGAGGACGACCAGCCACACUGGAACUGAGACACGGCCCAGACUCCUACGGGAGGCAGCAGUGGGGAAUUUUGGACAAUGGGCGCAAGCCUGAUCCAGCAAUGCCGCGUGAGGGAAGAAGGCCUUCGGGUUGUAAACCGCUUUUGUACGGAACGAAAAGGCUCGGGCUAAUACCUGGGGCUGAUGACGGUACCGUAAGAAUAAGCACCGGCUAACUACGUG
rnacentral:rRNA from 1 species